AUACGUAGGGAGCGAGCGUUGUCCGGAAUUACUGGGUGUAAAGGGAGCGUAGGCGGGAGUGCAAGUCAGAUGUGAAAUACAUGGGCUCAACCCAUGGGCUGCAUUUGAAACUGCAUUUCUUGAGUGAAGUAGCGGUAAGCGGAAUUCCUGGUGUAGCGGUGAAAUGCGUAGAUAUCAGGAGGAACACCGGUGGCGAAGGCGGCUUACUGGGCUUUUACUGACGCUGAGGCUCGAAAGCGUGGGGAGCAAACAGGAUUAGAUACCCUGGUAGUCCACGCUGUAAACGAUGAUUACUAGGUGUGGGGGGACUGACCCCUUCCGUGCCGCAGUUAACACAAUAAGUAAUCCACCUGGGGAGUACGGCCGCAAGGUUGAAACUCAAAUGAAUUGGCGGGG
rnacentral:rRNA from 1 species